GCACUUGGGAGCUGGAUUUGAAACUUACUGCUGCUGUGCAGGUUUACGAGAUGUCAGGAAACCUAGUAGUGAAAGGGAGGGAGGAGCUGUGCAUUCUAGAAAAGGAUUUCAACCACUACUUAAAGGCAUAUUACCUUUUACUGUUCACUUGCUGCGGGAGGUUUGAAGGAAACUGUUGCAACGCAUUGGGAAGGCUUUCUGGGACACUGCCAAGAAUUCACCAACACUCAACUUAAUUUUGGAAAUUCUCUGAAGACUUCACCUAAAAUGAAUCACACAAAACCUUCUAAUGAAAGGACAGAGCACUCUGAGCUGGGGAUUUAUCCACAAUUGUCUUCAGUGAUAUGUCAUUAUCACCCAGCAGAAAUGCACCAAGCAUGAUAAAGAAGUUUAUGUUCAGAUUUUCUCCCAAUUCUCAGUGGGAUAUCUCAUUUUCAAAAAAAUACUCCGACCUGGAAUUUCCUCUGCAUUCGCUUGCAUAUAUGCCCAUAAUCUGGGUGCGAUCAGAUUGCAUGGUUCAGAAGGAAUUUGAAUUUUGGGUGUAGGUGGGCCACCCGUGUAACUAAAACAUGCCUAAAUCCCGUUAAUCAUUUAUAUCCCUCUAUUAAAUCCCUUUACCAAACAAUUUCUGCCUACAAAACUGGGCAUGCCCUGACUUUCCCCCGAUUGUGAUGGCUCAGAUGGGUCUCUUAAUGUUGCAAGCAGGUUUUCAGAAACAGAAGGAAUCAAAGACAUUUUCCAUUCAUUUAA